UAAGCGGAGGAAAAGAAACCAACAGGGAUUGCCUCAGUAACGGCGAGUGAAGCGGCAAAAGCUCAAAUUUGAAAUCUGGCUCUUUCAGGGUCCGAGUUGUAAUUUGUAGAAGAUGUUUCGGGUGUGGUCCCAGUCUAAGUUCCCUGGAACUGGACAUCACAGAGGGUGAGAAUCCCGUAUGUGACUGGGUACCUACGUCCAUGUGAAACUCUUUCGACGAGUCGAGUUGUUUGGGAAUGCAGCUCAAAAUGGGUGGUAAAUUUCAUCUAAAGCUAAAUAUUGGCCAGAGACCGAUAGCGCACAAGUAGAGUGAUCGAAAGAUGAAAAGCACUUUGGAAAGAGAGUUAAACAGUACGUGAAAUUGUUGAAAGGGAAGGGCAUGCAAUCAGACUUGCGCCUAGUUGAUCAUCCGGGCUUUUGCCCGGUGCACUCGAUUAGGCUCAGGCCAGCAUCAGUUUAGAGGGUUGGAUAAAGGCCUUGGGAAUGUGGCCCCUCUCGGGGGGUGUUAUAGCCCAAGGUGCAAUGCAGCCACUCUGGACUGAGGACCGCGCUUCGGCUAGGAUGCUGGCGUAAUGGUUGUAUGCCGCCCGUCUUGAAACACGGACCAAGGAGUCUAACAUCUAUGCGAGUAUUUGGGUGUUAAACCCAUAUGCGUAAUGAAAGUGAACGGAGGUGAGAGCCCUUAAGGGUGCAUCAUCGACCGAUCCUGAUGUCUUCGGAUGGAUUUGAGUAAGAGCAUAGCUGUUGGGACCCGAAAGAUGGUGAACUAUGCGUGAAUAGGGUGAAGCCAGAGGAAACUCUGGUGGAGGCUCGCAGCGGUUCUGACGUGCAAAUCGAUCGUCAAAUUUGCGUAUAGGGGCGAAAGACUAAUCGAACCAUCUAGUAGCUGGUUCCUGCCGAAGUUUCCCUCAGGAA
rnacentral:rRNA from 1 species